rnacentral:rRNA from 1 species
UACGGAGGAUCCAAGCGAUAUCCGGAAUCAUUGGGGUUAAAGGGUCCGUAGGCGGUUUAAUAAGUCAGUGGUGAAAGCCCAUCGCUCAACGGUGGAACGGCCAUUGAUACUGUUAAACUUGAAUUAUUAGGAAGUAACUAGAAUAUGUAGUGUAGCGGUGAAAUGCUUAGAGAUUACAUGGAAUACCAAUUGCGAAGGCAGGUUACUACUAAUGGAUUGACGCUGAUGGACGCAAGCGUGGGUAGCGAACAGG